GUCUUUAGAAAUAUAUUGAAACAAAAAUAAAAUUCCAUUUAAGUGUGCUGAAAAUAUGGAACACAUUAAAAAAAUAACCAUGACACUAAAACUACAGUAUUGUUUUAGGCAUGAGUCACCCAACCAGAAAGACAAUAAUUAUAUUCUCCUCGGACUCAUUGUUCUGAGUGUACUUAUAAGCAGUAAGGACCAUUCAGGUCAAAAUGUUGGUUAAAAAAAUGACUGAGAUGCUACAAACAAAUCCUAAAGUUUUGAAGAGACAUACAGUCUUUCCACAGGCAUUAAGUAAUUCUCCUAUUAGUUCUAUUACUUUAAAAAGAAUUACAAAAGAAAAUACAUUAAAAUAUUUUAACUAUGAAAGGAAAAUAAUUUAAAAUAAUUUCAUUGCUACAUAAUUGGGUGUUGUUAAGAUGACAGGCAUCCUCCUAAUGUAUAACUGCGAUAAGUAAAGCAAAAAACACUUUUUGGUAUCUGUGUCAAAUACAUAUAAUCUCAACCUAUAAGAGAAAAACAACUGGACAAAUCCAAAUUCAGAGACAUUUCAGCAAAGUAUUUUUCUUCAAAGGUGUAGUCACAUAAGAUAAAAAUAGUAAUGAAUUAUCACAGAAUAGAAUAACAUAAGAUAUGUAAUAACUAAAUGUCAACUGGAUUUCUGGAUUGAAAAUGGGCAUAGAUAGUGUACAGUUCUAGAAACAUUGUUAUUAUGAUUUGAUCAACCUACAAAAUUACUUUUAACAUUUUUUUCAAUUUUCUAAUUUUUUGAGAAUUAGUCAUUAGAUUGAUUAAAGUAUAUAAAAUUUAGUAAUUAGGUUACGAUAUAAAACCAUACUGUUUCCUAUCAAUUAAAUCUCCUUUUCCUGUAUUGUUUGAAUUCUGCUUUAUUUUUUGUAUUGAUUCAUAUUAUUAAUUUAUUUAUGUCUCAAAUGCUGUCAUUUUUCCUGUUUUCCCCCACAGAUUCCCUUAACCCAAUCACCAUCCUUUUCUGAUUUCUUCUUUCAAAGAGUCAAAACAACAGUAACUAAGGCAUGUUUACUCCCUGAAUAGCUGUUCAUAUGGCCAUGCAUUUGAAAAUCUACAACAUUGAUAAUGCAGACAUCAGGAAAUAUCAUUCAAAAAUGAUCUUCAAAUAUUAAAUAAUCUCCACUUAUCAGCUAACAACUAUCAGCUUUACAAAACAGGAAGAAUCCAAGAGGAAAAAUAUCCUUGUAAUGUACGUAGAUAAAAUUGAUCAGAUAAGAAGGAAAUCAGAGAGCAACCUUCCUGGAUUCAACACAAGAGAGCCUCAGUUCCUGUAGUGUAUUCGACAGCAGUCUAGCAUGGCUUCCCUCUGUGAGAUUCCACUAAGCUGCUGACUCAGACAGAAGCAGGCAUCAUCUAGUCAAACCACGGUGGAGCUUGGGGACUCUGAUGGAAGAAGAGAAUGAAAAGGAUUAUGGCCUCUAAGGAUAUAGGCACUCCACAGGCUUUGUCUUCAUGCAGGCUAUGGUGUUGUGAAGACAAGAUACCACAUGUGCAGCUGUGAAUAAGUCUGAGAAGGCUGACUUCUUGGAUUUCUGAAGCAUUACUAAGUGAUCCAGAGGAAAUCAGCACGCCCUGCUCAGCAGAGCUCUGGGAAUGCUGACACUCUUGCUUUAUGUUUAUAUUAACCUAGGUCAAAAGAUCACCUGUCAGGUAUGUUCUUGAAUAUCCUUCAGUGUGCUAGCAUUGGACUGAAAUGAAAUACUCUUCAGGAGAUGUGUGGGAAACAACUGAACUCUUCCAUUAGAAUCAGAGAGAUGAGCUGUAUUGACCUUCAAUUGACUGUGUAUGCUUCUGGUCUUUGGCUUUGACUAUGCAGAUCUAUUGUCUCAUACAUCAUUGUUCAUGUGGCCAAGUUGCGGGGAAAGUGCGACACACAAUUCUUUCCCAUUUUCACAUCCUCCAUUCUAGGGUAAUAGAUUUUAGAAAAGCCCUUCCCAUUUUAUAUAGUAGACCAACUGACCUAACUUUUCUUCAAUACGCUCUUCUCUAUUAUCUGUAUACCGUGUUUGUGUUUGUGUUUGUGUGUGUGUGUGUGUGUUUCAGUUUGUGCGCUUAAAUGGUUAGUUUGUAUGCAAGUUUAGAGAAGGAUUCUAUGUAAGAAAUCUCUAAACUGUGGAUGGGGCAGCAUCCAAAUGUUCUCCCACAUCAUGACCUUCUAGAAAGAGUAGCAUAAUCUGCAAAAAAUAAUACAGUUGAAAGUAAAACUUGGAGGAAAUGCCCUGGGAUGGCUACAUUAUCACUGUUGACUGUGACAUUUUUCUCUUGGCUUCUGUGGCCAGACAUGAAGGCUCUGAAGCAAAGUUGCAUCCUGUUGAUCUGUGAAUAAGAUGAAGGAGGCUAUCAACUGGGUCACAUGAAGCAUAUGAAAAGCGUGACAGCAGCAGCUCUCUGCUCCCAGACCCCGUGAGAGAGAGACCCAACCGCCUGGUCAGGUGGGCACUCCUGAGGCUGCAGAGCAGAAGAGACCACCAGCGCUCACCCCUGCCCACAUCCCUGGCCCAAGAGGAAACUGUAUAAGGCCUCUGGGCUCCCGUGGGGGAGGGCCCAGGAGCGGCAGGACCCCUGCCUGAGACACCCCGGAACCUGAAGGAAACAGACCUGAUAAACAGUUCUCUGCACCCAAAUCCCGUGGGAGGGAGAGCAAAACCUUCAGAGAGGCAGACAAGCCUGGGAAACCAGAAGAGACUGCUCCCUGCACACACAUCUCGGACGCCAGAGGAAAAAGCCAAAGACCAUCUGGAACCCUGGUGCACUGAAGCUCCCGGAAGGGGCGGCACAUGUCUUCCUGGUUGCUGCCGCUGCAGAGAGCCCAUGGGCAGCACCCCACGAGCGAACUUGAGCCUCGGGACCACAGGUAAGACCAAAUUUUCUGCUGCAAGAAAGCUGCCUGGUGAACUCAAGACACAAGCCCACAGGAACAGCUGAAGACCUGUAGAGAGGAAAAACUACACACCCAAAAGCAGAACAUUCUGUCCCCAUAACUGACUGAAAGAGAGGAAAACAGGUCUACAGCACUCCUGACACAGGCUUAUAGGACAGUCUAGCCACUGUCGGAAAUAGUAGAACAAAGUAACACUAGAGAUAAUCUGAUGGCGUGAGGCAAGCGCAGGAACCCAAGGAACAGAAACCAAGACUACAUGGCACCAUCGGAGCCCAAUUCUCCCAUCAAAACAAACAUGGAAUAUCCAAACAAAUCAGAAAAGCAAGAUCUAGUUUCAAAAUCAUUUUUGAUCAUGAUGCUGGAGGACUUCAAGAAAGAUGUGAAGAACUCCCUUAGAGAACAAGUAGAAGCCUACAGAGAGGAAUCGCAAAAAUGCCUGAAAGAAUUCCAGGAAAACAUAAAUAAACAAGUAGAAGCCCAUAGAGAGGAGACACAAAAAUCCCUGAAAGAAUUCCAGGAAAACAUAAAUAAACAAGUAGAAGCCCAUAGAGAGGAGACACAAAAAUCCCUGAAAGAAUUCCAGGAAAACACAAUCAAACAGUUGAAGGAAUUAAAAAUGGAAAUAGAAGCCAUCAAGAAAGAACACAUGGAAACAACCCUGGACAUAGAAAACCAAAAGAGGAGACAAGGAGCUGUAGAUACAAGCUUCACCAACAGAAUACAAGAGAUGGAAGAGAGAAUCUCAGGAGCAGAAGAUUCCAUAGAAAUCAUUGACUCAACUGUCAAAGAUAAUGUAAAGCGGAAAAAGCUACUUGUCCAAAUCAUACAGGAAAUCCAGGACUCAAUGAGAAGAUCAAACCUAAGGAUAAUAGGUAUAGAAGAGAGUGAAGACUCCCAGCUCAAAGGACCAGUAAAUAUCUUCAACAAAAUCAUAGAAGAAAACUUCCCUAACCUAAAAAAAGAGAUACCCAUAGACAUUCAAGAAGCCUACAGAACUCCAAAUAGAUUGGACCAGAAAAGAAACACCUCCCGUCACAUAAUUGUCAAAACACCAAACGCACAAAAUAAAGAAAGAAUAUUAAAAGCAGUAAGGGAAAAAGGUCAAGUAACAUAUAA